ensembl:lncRNA
GUGGCUAAUGGUUACCCUCUUGGACAGUGCAAUUACGGAACUUUCCCAAUAAUUCCAUAAAAAUGGAAAGUAGGUAUUUUUACAUGACAUGAAAAAGCUGAGAUGCAUCGAGGCCGAGAAGAAAUCUGAGGAGACAGGAUUUAAAAAGCACUUUCUUAAAUAAUGAGCAUUCUACUUCCUUUACAAGAUUUGCAUUAGGAACAAAAGAUUCCAAGAUCACCUUUCCAGGCUUCUGGACUACUUCCUUCUACUGCUAUCAGUACACAGACACAGAGUGUUAAUCUUGACAUUGAAACAGUAGUCUUUAGGCUUCACCAGACAACAUUAGCAACAUAAAAUAAGAAAACAUACACAAGGCAUCCCAAAGUGAGACAGUCCAUGGGUCUAAGAUUUUCUAAAUAUCAGUUCCUUAGAAGGCAGUGACGCUUCUCAUCUUUGGUAUCUGCACUGUUCAUGCUCUUGCUUCUUCAGAUCUACUGAACAGCCCCAUCUAUGACCACUCCUACUUCUUACCCACCUUACCUGUUUCAUUUAUCAUCUCUGAACUUACUAUCCAACAUUAAAACAAAAAAAUUAAGUACAGACUUGUUUUUCUGUGUUUUCUUCCCCCAUGAAGAUGGGAUAUUAGUGCCUAGCACAUGAUACACAUUCCAAAUCACAUAAUUUGCUAAUGAAACUUGAGGCUGUAAGCACAAUUCCCCUGGCC